rnacentral:sRNA from 1 species
AAAACGAUAUGAAAAC